rnacentral:tRNA from 1 species
GUUGUAGCUCAGCGGUAGAACACUUGCCUUGUACAUAUGAGGUACUGUGUUCAAUUCCCAGCACCACA